GCCCGCGGUCCCCCCGCCCCGGGGCGGUGCCGCAGCCCCGGACCCGCCCCCGGUUCCCCCCCCCGGGCCGGGAUGGCGGAGGCGGCGCAGGGCCGGGUGCAGGCGGCGGUGGAGAGCGCGGUGCAGGGGCUGGAGCGGGAGCGCAUCCGCGCCAUGCAGGGCGCCAUGUUCCGCUGCAGCGCGCGGUGCUGCGAGGACGACACGGCCACCAUGCAGCAGGUGCAGCGCUGCAUCGAGCGCUGCCACGCGCCCCUGGCGCAAGCACAGGCCAUCGUCACCGCCGAGCUGGAGCACUUCCAGGACCGGCUGAGCCGCUGCACGCUGCACUGCAACGACAAGGCGCGGGACGCGCUGGAGGCCGGGGGCAGCGAAACGCGGGUGCGGGGGCAGCUGGACGCCUGCCUGGCCGCCUGCGGGGACGAUCACCUGCGCCUGGUCCCCGCCAUGGCCAAGAAGAUGAAGGACAGCCUGGCCGCCAUCCCGCAGUAGCCCCCGCACGCUCAUUAAAGGUUCAUGGACAAGAAGCUGUCAUUGAAACUAAAUGGCGGCCGACACGUCCAGGGGAUCUUGCGGGGCUUCGAUCCCUUCAUGAACCUCGUCAUCGAUGAGUGUGUGGAGAUGGCACCGGGGGGACAGCAGAACAACAUCGGCAUGGUGGUAAUACGGGGAAACAGCAUCAUUAUGUUGGAAGCUUUGGAACGAGUAUAAUGCCAGAGGAACGCGCGUCUUUACCAGCUGUGACGAGACCCAACCCGCCCUUUUUCUUUACUUAUUGAAUCUGCCCAAAGCAUCCCUGAGUGUAAACCCUUUUUUUGUUUGUUUGUUUUUUUGUUAAAUAAAUUUUGUAAUGAUUGGCAUAA